rnacentral:sRNA from 2 species
ACAGCCAGAGAGCAGGUGGAGAUGAGGUGAGUCGUCCAGCAGAUUGAUGAUCUGGGUAUAUACCUCAAUAUCUAUACACUGAUGUAUUUACAACAUUCUGCGCCGAACAGCUAGUCUAUAGAAUUUAGAUUCAAGAACAAUAUUCGGUUUUCCCCCUCUAAAACGAUGUCAACUUGUUCGACCUCUAGCAAUUUUUCGGCUGGUCAAAUGCGAGAAGUAUAGGGAAAUUCAGGGAACAGAUGUGAAAAUAGAAAGCGAAAUGAAAAAAGAGACAGAUAGGUGAAACACAGUUAACCGCCAAAGAGAAAAUGUCUAGUAUGUAUGGAACGAGAUGGCAGGAUAAGGACUCUUUGACACGGUCAUGGCGCAGAAUGCGAAUAGGAAUUGGCUGAAAUUUAUCACAACACGGGAGCGUAUGUCGGGGACAGGUUGCCAAUUUGGUUUUGGGUCAUAUAAUAUCUAUUCAUCAUCACCAAGGCCGACCAAAAAAUCACGCGUUAGUUCAUAGCUGAGCCAACUGCUCGCCAUGCUUGGGGCCACUUUGAGACAUCACUACAGCGACUAGUUAGACAGCAAUCAAGAAAGUAAAGGAAACCCCGUCUUACAAUGGAUAUGUGCAUGUUUGUGCAACAGCUCCUGAUAUUGCGCCGGCCAACAACUUGCGGUAAGGACUAGGGUUGAGGUCUCCAUCAGGCGUAAGGUACUUUCGUACUGACUCAUAAGUCAUAAAAUUCAAUCCAACCUUUUAAAUGCGUUUAGAGUUUGUCAUUGGGAUAAUGGGGUCCGUUUUAGUGAUUCAACACUUACAUAAGGGGCAACUCCGGCAAUAGUGGGGAUUAUUCCGCGGUACAGCGCAAGGAAGCCGCCUUCAGUCUUGUACAUCAACCGCAUUGUUUGGAAUAUUCCAGGCAACUGCUUUUCUUGUCCUUUCCGCAAUUCCCUAAACGACGCUGACUGGAUCGAAAGUCGUGUCCUUACGAUAUCUAACGGAUAAGUAAAUGUGACAGACGUGAUACCCGCGAUACCUCCACAUAUUAAGCGACGAAGAGGAGUAAGUUCGGCCCCAGGGGCCGGCUCAAAGAGCUGAGGUCUUUGUUAGCAAAUAAACAGUAAAUAUCGCAACACGGGUUGGAGAAUCCGAUAGCGUGAAGUAGUAGCGAUCAAGAUGGCAUUAAAUUUAUUAAAAAUGAAAUUAAGCAAGAAAAGGGAGAGUAAAU